GGGGUAAAGUACCACUGUAUAUAUUGGGCCAGAGGGUGCCAUUCUUCUACUACUGAGUAGUACUGUACUUGGACAUGAAUCCACAUGGGAAAACCUGCAAAUUCAGUCGUCCUAAAGCAGAGGCAACAGUACCUGAUGGUAGCACUUACAUUUACAACUCUGCAUACCAGGAUUUCUUUAUAACAUUUCUUAGUCGGAGUCAGUUGUUCUGUUAAAUGGUAGUCUUCUUUUUCCCAGUGAUGCAUUAACACACACGCUGCAACAUUUUCUACAGUGUGUGUUGUAUUUGGGUGGAAUGCAUUACUUUAUGCUGUACAUUUUAGAAAAAUUUCAGCUAUUAAAAUGAAAAAUUAAUGAA